UACGGAGGGUGCUAGCGUUGUUCGGAAUUACUGGGCGUAAAGCGCGCGUAGGCGGCUUUGUAAGUUAGAGGUGAAAGCCCGGGGCUCAACCCCGGAACUGCCUUUAAAACUGCAUCGCUUGAAUCCGGGAGAGGUGAGUGGAAUUCCGAGUGUAGAGGUGAAAUGCGUAGAUAUUGGGAAGAACACCGAUGGCGAAGGCAGCCAUCUGGACCGACACUGACGCUGAGGCGCGAAAGCGUGGGGAGCAAACAGG
rnacentral:rRNA from 1 species